rnacentral:rRNA from 1 species
CGGUGUGGUUCAUGACUGGGGUGAAGUCGUAACAAGGUAGCCCUAGGGGAACCUGGGGCUGGAUCACCUCCUUACC